rnacentral:rRNA from 1 species
UUUAUAUUGUGAAACUGCGAAUGGCUCAUUAAAUCAGUUAUGAUCUACGUGACAUAUUCUUUACUACUUGGAUAACCGUGGUAAUUCUAGAGCUAAUACAUGCAAAAAAGCCCUGACUUCGGAAGGGGUGCACUUAUUAGAUAAAGCCAACGCUGGGUAAAACCAGUUUCCCUUGGUGAUUCAUAAUAAUUAAGCGGAUCGCAUGGCCUUGUGCUGGCGACGGUCCACUCGAUUUUCUGCCCUAUCAUGGUUGAGAUUGUAAGAUAGAGGCUUACAAUGCCUACAACGGGUAACGGGGAAUUAGGGUUCGAUUCCGGAGAGGGAGCCUGAGAAACGGCUACCACAUCCAAGGAAGGCAGCAGGCGCGCAAAUUACCCAAUACCGACAUGGUGAGGUAGUGACAAUAAAUAACAAUGCAGGGCCUUUAAGGUCUUGCAAUUGGAAUGAGUACAAUUUAAAUCCCUUAACGAGGAUCAAUUGGAGGGCAAGUCUGGUGCCAGCAGCCGCGGUAAUUCCAGCUCCAAUAGCGUAUAUUAAAGUUGUUGCAGUUAAAACGUCCGUAGUCAAACUUUAGCCUUUAGGCGAGGUGGCCUGGUCUUCAUUGAUCAAGCUCGCUUCUGCCGAGGCUUUUGUAUUUGGUUAUGCUAUGGGUGGCUUCGGUCGCCUAUAGUCUCUAGCC